CACUUUGGUUUUUGCCCGAAUGACCUCA
rnacentral:sRNA from 1 species